GAAAUGCGAUAAGUAGUGUGAAUUGCAGAAUUCAGUGAAUCAUCGAAUCUUUGAACGCACAUUGCGCCCCUCGGUAUUCCGUGGGGCAUGCCUGUCCGAGCGUCAUCUACACCCUCAAGCUCUGCUUGGUGUUGGGCGUCUGUCCCGCCUCCGCGCGCGGACUCGCCCCAAAUGCAUUGGCAGCGGUUCCUUGCCCCCCUCUUUGCGCAGCACAUUGCCAUUCGAGGCGGCGGCGGCCCGCGUCCAACAAGCUCAACCCCCCCGUCUUUGACCUCGGAUCAGGUAGGGAUACCCACUGAACUUAAGC
rnacentral:misc_RNA from 1 species